rnacentral:sRNA from 1 species
UGGUCUUCCUCGAAAAAAAAUCUCGGAGAUUUUUUUGUUUCUAUAAUAUAGUUUAUGCAACUUCGUUUAAACAAAACAAUCUCCGAGAUUUUUUCGAGGAAGACCA